AAACAAAUGAGUGCAUUAUUUUCCUUCUUCAAGUGCAUAUUUUUCCUUCUUCAAGUGCAUAUGUUUGUCUCUUCGAGUGCAUAUUUAAUUGUUAUUAG